rnacentral:lncRNA from 1 species
UCCUGCCUCUGGCUGAGGGCUGCGCUCCACUGCUCCCGGUUUGUGCCCGCCCCUACCCGGGCACACACAAACUCAGCUCUGCACGGCCUGCCUGGACCGAGAAAAGUUGCCCUGCCGCUCCCUCCCCAAAGAGGUCCCAGUGGAAGCAGCAAGGACCCCAAAAGUCCUCCCUAUGACUUGGUUCCCACACUUGGUCCCUGC